CGAGGUGCACGCAAGGAUGUAAGAUGAUAAGGUCCCACGAGGUGCACGCAAAGUUCUCGAAUUUGCUAUAGAAAGCAGUGGAAAACGUUUUCUAGAACCCUACAAUUGAGAAGAGCUAACAGGAUAGUCAAGAAGCGGCAUGAAGGAUCUUUUACUGUUGUAUGGGAUCGCCAAUGCGCUGAGGUACCCGGAGAUGCUGUUUCGUACAGGUUUUACUACAAUCCGGAAUGGAAGGCCACAUUUUUCUCAGAUGCAGGUUGUGAAGGCAAAAGUGAAGAGGUUCUUGCCUCAAGCAAAAUGUGUGUUCAGGGUCUCGAAGGCAUUGGCAGCGUCUUGAUAUCGGAUGAGUCAUUUUCAACAUCUUGAUAUCUCGGAUGAUCUCUUGCCAGUUUCACUGACUCCUGGCAUAAAUAUAUAGCUUGCAAUGUCAUGAAUAAUAUCAUUUGGUGAUGAGUUGUGACAGCAA